rnacentral:lncRNA from 1 species
GAUCACUCCAGUCCUCUGAGUCAUUCUCUGUGGAAGUGGGGAUCUAUUAGCAAGUCCUUGGUCCCUGUGCUCACCCAUGUCGGAGACAGGUUUGUACCUUGUUCACCUGUCCUGACCUCCAUCUGGCUUUUGCAGGUCUCAGGUGUACAUGCACCCCAGCCUGUCACCACCCAGCACUAUGAUCCUCUCUGGGGGCACGGCCUUGAAACCCCCAUACUCUGCAUUUCCCGGCAUACAGCCCUUGGAGAUGGUGAAGCCACAAUCUGGCUCACCCUACCAGCCCAUGAGUGGAAACCAGGCCCUGGUCUAUGAGGGCCAACUCGGCCAGGCUGCUGGGCUGGGUGCCUCCCAGAUGCUGGACUCCCAGCUCCCACAGGUCAGUUUGGUUUCUUGUUAGUCUCCUCCUUCCUUGCCUCUCAGUUGCCUCUUGUGUGCUGAUGUUCAAAUGUAUAUCCUAGACACAGAGACUCUUACUAGUCCCACAGCGCCAUGUUCUCCUGGCUUCCCCUUCCUCUAGAGCUCUGGUCUAGAGAUGUCUGCACUGAAAUGGUGUUUGUGG